rnacentral:rRNA from 1 species
GUCUAUGGCCAUGCCACCCUGAAUGAGCCCAAUCCCGUCUGAUUUGGGAAGCUAAGCAGGGUCGGGCCUGGUUAGUACUCGGGAUGGGAGACCACCUAGGAAGACCAGGUACUGUAGGUG